rnacentral:lncRNA from 1 species
UAUGUCGCAAGUGAGGUAAUCUUCACACAACCCAUGUAAUACAUAAGGGAAAGAGAUACAUAGUUGGCUUACAAUCGCCACUUCACACAAUUACAUGAAUAAACAUUACAUCAAUCAAAUACACUCAUGGUCCGACUACGAAACCAAAAUAAAAGAAGAACCCCAACUGCGACAAAGGUCCCAGAUCGACCCCAACUGGGCUCCACUACUUAUCAACUAGAAUGAAACAAAACAAAGGACAAGAUCUUCAUCGGGCUCCUCCUGAGCUUGGUUGCGCCAUCUGCACGGACUCAUCGGCACCUGCAAGCUGAUUUUGGAAGUAUCUGUGAGCCACAGGGACUCAGCAAUCUCGCACCCUCGCGAUCAAGACUAUUUAAGCUUAUGGGUAAGGUAAAGGUAUGAGGUGGAGCUGCAGCAAACGACUAGCAUAUAUGGUGGCUAAUAUACGCAAAUUAGAGCGAGAAGAGAAGGCAAAGCACGGUCGAUAAAAGUAUGAUCAAGAAGUGAUCCUUAAACAACCUACAUCAAGCAUAACUCCAACAACCGUCUUCACUUCCCGGACACCGCCGGAAAGAGACCAUCAUGGUUACACACGCGGUUGAUUCAUUUUAAUUAAGGUCGACUUCAGGUUUUCUACAACCGGACGUUAACAAAUUCCCAUCUUCCCAUAACCGCGGGCACGGCUUUCGAAAGUUCAAAUCCCUGCAGGGGUGUCCCAACUUAGCCCAUGACAAGCUCUCACGGUCAACGAAGGAAUAGACCUCCACCCGAGACAUUCCGAUCAGACUCGGUAUCCCGGUACAACAAGACAUUUCGACAGGGUAAAACUAAACCGGCACCACCGCCCGAAUGUGCCGACAAAUCCCGAUAGGAGCUGCACAUAUCUCUUUCUCAGGGCACAUCGGAUCGUCCAAACUUCCGGUAGGCCAGCCCAGAGUUGCCCCUGGUGGCCACCGGCGCCUGACAAGUUGGACCAACACUCAGAGGAGCACUGGCCCGGGGGGGUAAAAUAAUGAUGACCCUCAGGAGCGCGACUCCCAAGGGAAAAGAAAAGGCUAGGUGGCAAAUGGUAAAACCAAUGUUGGGCAUUGCUGGAAGAGCUUUACUUAAGGCGAACUCUCAAGGGGUUCCCAUUAUAGCCCAACCGUGUAAGGGACGCAAAAUCCGGGAACAUAACACCGAUAUGACGGAAACUAGGGCGGCAAGAGUGGAACAAAACACCAGGCAUAAGGCCGAGCCUUCCACCCUUUACCAAGAAUAUAGAUGCAUUAAUUAAAAAGAUAUAUUGUAAUAUCCCAACAAGUAAACAUGUUCCCACAAGGAAUAACAUCUCCAUGUUCCAACAAGGAACACACUUCAAUCUUCACCUGCAACUAACAACGCUAUGAGAGGGGCUAAGCAAAGCGGUAACAUAGCCAAUCAACGGUUUGCUAGGACAUGGUGGGUUAGAGGUUUGACAUGGCAAUUUGGGAGGCGGACAAGCAGAAGGUAGGCAUCGUAGCAUUGGCAUAGCAAAGAGCGAGCAAACUAGCAUAGCAAAGAUAGUAGUGAUUUCGAGGGUAUGAUCAUCUUGCCUAAAAUCCCGCAAGGAAGACGAACGAGUCCAUGAAGAAGCCAAACGGACAUAGUCGAACGAAUCCUCACAACACGACGUUAUCGGAACCAACCCGAAGAAGCAACACCGGAAAAGAGCAAACAACAUAGUAAACAACCAUCACAUAAACAUGUCAUGAUGCACAAUCAAGUAUGAUGCAUGUCCGGUUUAAAUAUGCAUGGCAUGGCAAAGUGCACAAACGAUCUUACAAAUUAAGUGGAGCUCAAUAUGCAACGGGUUGCAUAUUGACGGAACACCACAUCCAUUAUUUAGUUCGCUCUCAGUUAUGAACCCAACAAGAUUAAAUGUUGCUAGCAUGACAAGAGGGUGAAGCAAAGAAAAACUACCUAUCUAGGCAAGUUUAAAUGAGGCCGGAAACAACGAACAACAAUUCCGGUAAAUCCCCAUGUGCAUAUAUUAGGUUUGGUCCUGUUCUUCCCUAAACAUAAUUUUAGAGUUGUUAAGCAUGCAAAAUGAAGCCACCAUGUUAAACUAGGCAUUUUUCUACCCCAUUUACAUAUAAAGUUUAUUAAGUUCGGAGCUACGGUUAAUUAGUUAUGAAUUAAAGUAUUUUAACAUGGCAUAGGAGCAAAAAAUUAAUCAAACAACAUUUUAAACAUUUUAAACAUAGAUGAAAAUGGCAUAUUAUUAAUCUACACAAAAUUCUGAGCAAGUUUCAUAUAUAAAACAUUUUAAUCUGAUGCACGGUUAGUGAGUUAUUAAAUGCAUGAACCAGGGGGACUUUUCUGCAAAACGGGCAAACUCUGGAAAAUUGGACAAAUCGCAGAUCUGUAAAAAAACACAUGUGGGCCGAAUCUGGAACAGGGGCUGAACAGGGCAGGCGCUGGGGGCGGCUCACCCUGGGCUCUGGCCCGUCGGUGGGAGGAGGGAGGCCUGCAGGGGCUAUGCUGGACCGGGUGAGGCAGGCGACUGGGCUUCGGCGCCGGCGCGGUGUUGGGCCUGGCGCGCCUGGCAGCCCACACAGCUGGCCAUCUGGGCCGGUGCGGGGCCCAUCAAGGCGAUAGGAGGAACCGCAUCGUCCUCCUCGUGCUCCUGGGUGAGCAGGAAGCCAUGGAAGGCGGCGGCGGCGGCUUGACGUCGGUGAGGCACGGAGGAGUGCCCAGAGGUGCGGAUCUGGACGGGAUCCACCCGAUCCGUCCGUUUCCGGCACUAGUGGGGAGCUCCGGUGAGUGGGGCGACCAAGGCGGACGACGGGUGCCUACGGGAGAGAGAGAAAGAGGAUGAGAGGGAGAAAGAGGAGGCAGGUAGGGGAAGGAAGGAGAGCGGCGCGGUGACCUGGCCUGGGGAGAUGGCGGCACGCCGGCGAGGUGCACAACGGCGGCGGGGCCCGAGGUCGUCGACGGGAGGGGUGAUGGUGGCGCUCCCCCGAUCCAGCUCGGGGUCGAGCAGGAGGAGGGCACGGGCUGCGCGAGGAACGGACGCGUCGGUCGGGCGGCCGCGCGGGCCUGGGCGGGCGCGCCUGGGCUCGGCGGGUCACGGUGAAGUGGGGCACUAGGGAGGCGACGUGGCAGCGCCCGGUUGGCCAGGGCGACACCUCAGGUGGCGGCUGGCCUUUGGCAACGCCCCAAGUGGCGACGGGGAGGUGGCUGCGCGCGGAAAUUGAGGAGAAGGUGGCUGGCGGCUGCGGGGAUUCCGAAGGGAAGGCUAGAAGUAGGUGGAGGGGGUUUAGGGUUCCAAAAAUGGAAGGGGAAGGUCUAUAUAUAGACAAGGGGGCUAGGUUAGGGGGAUUUUAGUCCGUUCCGGAGCCGUUCGAUCCCGAUCGGACGACCCGGGGCGGAGGGGUUAGAUAGGUGGGCUAGUGGGCUGUGAAGAUAGGAGAGGAGUGCAGCCCGGCAACUGUUUCCGAAGACCGAAAACGUCCGACGUUUGACCGACUAUAAUGUUGCUAUAGUUAUCCGUUGGGCUAUCAAACGAACUCCGAAUGCGAUGAAACUUGGCAGGCGGCCUACCUACAACAUAACAAGACCGCACGCCAACUCUCAUCCCAUUCCGAGAACAUUUUCCGGCCACUUAUAAAAUAAUAUUUCGGACAUGUCGCGGGCGCGUGCAAGUGUGUCUGGGCUCAGAACGGACAACGGACGAAACGAGGAGCCCGGGACGAAUGCAAGUUUUGAAAACAUGACGAUGCAAUGCACAUGAUGACAUGAUAAGAUGCAACACGCAAGCAAAUGACAUGGCAACGACGGCGAAUAACUGGACGACAACUGGCACAUCGGUCUCGGGGCGUGACAACACUCCACCACUAAGAGAGGAUCUCGUCCCGAGAUCUAGAAUGGCACCGGAGGGACAACGGAAAAGAAAGGGAAGAGGUAAAAUUAAGUUGCUUCAUUGACGAAUGAGUGAAACCAAAGAAACCUUGAAAAGUUGAACAAAUUGAAAGAAGAAUACAAUGGAGAUGAAUGAAGUCGAAAACACUCCGUUAGAAAAGAGGAAGAAAGAACAUUGCGAAAAACCAUGAGGUUGAAGGGCAAGAUAUAUAUUGAAACCACUCCGGUUAAGGAAGGGGAUCAACGAAGACCAAAUUCGGGCAGCACUCCAGUUGAAAAGAAAAAUAAUUGAAUAAGAACUUGAUAAGGUGAUAGAACUUGAAGAGAGGGCACGACACUCCAGUUAAAUGGACAAUCAUGAAAAGAACAUGAUCUUGACAAAACAAGAAGAUGGGUUGAAGAGAACAACAACACAAUGCCUCCAGAACGAAAGAAUAGAAGUUGUAUCGACGGAACAAAAGAACGGAGAAGAAAACAACAUCCUCUACCUCCAAUGAGCUUGAAAAGCAUAUUUAGGAGAAGGGUCGAACGGAGUUGUUGGAACACCAACAAUGAAAAGAAUAAUCUUGAUAUGGUCUUAUGGAAUACAUCUCAAAAUUAUGAGGUGACAACCUGCCACUCACGGGAAAAGAAUUGGAUUGGCAUGAUUAAGGAGACGAGAAGCUUAUCACCGGAAGGAUAUAUGAAUAACUUGGAUAAUAUAUGAGCACAAUUAUAGCAACAAUCCUUAGGAAAGGCUUUAGGUUAAAUGUAACCCAAGAUAGCUCCAAUGACGAGAUUGAUGGAUUUAAAAUAUCCCAAUCUUGACAGCAUGUGAAUCAUGAAAACAUGAACUCAAAUUACCAAGAAUGACAUAAUACCACCUCCAAUGAUACGGUAGACAGAAAAGCACUCCGGAUUACAAUAUGAAGAAAACUUGAGUUUCUUAGAAAAGAAUCUCGAUGAAAACUUCGAGAAUGAAUAUAAAUCCUUGAUGAACCAUCAUGUAGAACUUUCAUGAGAACUCCGGAAAACAAAAGAUAACGAAAAGAAAGAGAAGUUGAAAACACAAAGUGAAACCUUGCAAUGAUUUAGAAGGAGCUUCACGACAAGAUAAUGUGAGGAAGCUAGGAACUCCGAAAAAGAAAAGAUAAGCAACUCGAACUGAGAAUGUGAUAUGAUGAACCACUCCGGAAAAAGAAAUUGAAUAAACUUGAUGAAACAAGAAUAAGAAUUAUGUUAUGCGUAUCCUUCACCAAUUUAAUUGAUGACGAGCAAAUGGAUUUGGCACACAACUUAUUCUCGUAGCAAGGAUAGCGCAAACUUGAGAAGGUCUUCAAUGAACCACCGGUAUAAUUGAAAUAACAAAUGGAUCGAUACAAUAACAAAGGAAGAGAAAUCUUGAACGAAGCACCGUAAGAAAUGAAAAUGAACAAAGAGAAGAUAAAGAAACACCGGGAAGAAUUAUAAAAUGAACAAAGAUGCUUGAGAGGAUUUAGAUACAUGAGAACGAAGAGCUCACACACCGAUUAAAGAUUACUUGAAUGAAGCACCGGUAAAAUUGAAGAACGAGAGCUGAAAGCUGAGAAUAAAUAAUAUUUGAAAAGAUGGAUUCCGGAUAAGAAAUUGAAAAGACUCUUGAAUUUGCUUUGGAUAGUUGAAAAGAAUUCUCACAAUCGAAAAUAAUUAUGAGAGGAUGGCAAUAAGCUAGAACCACGAGUCUAUGAGAGAACGGAUAAGAUAUGGAGGAAAAAAACUCUUCUUCGGUCUUCAAAAUCUGAGAAUUACGACGAGAAACAUCAUCAUGAAUUAUUGAGGCACACCGGAAUGAAGAAUAGAAAGGUUGAGCUAUAACGCCCUCGAUGCGGCUAUAGCUCCCACGUGUCGAGGCACGACUUAGAGACAUAACCGCAUUGAAAGCAAUGUCGCAAGUUAGGCAAAUCAUCACAACAUCCCAUGUAAUAUAGUAAUAAAGAGGAGAUACAUAGUUGGCUUACACUCGCCACGUCACAUCAAAGUACAUAAAUAACAUCCAUCAUUCAAACACUCAUGGCCCGACUACGGUGCCAAAAUAGAAAAAAAGGAACCCAACAUGCGACAAGGCCCUGAAUCGAACCCCAACUAGGCACCACUACUGAUCAUCAGGAAAAGACACGUAGUAACGCUGAGAGUCCUCGUCGAACUCCCACUUGAGCUCGUACUCGUCACGUGGAGCGGAAUCACCUGGACCUGCAUCUGGAGUUAUAGUAAUCCGUGAGCCACAGGGACUCAGCAAUCUCGCACCCUUGCGAUCAAGACUAUUUAAGCUGAUAGGAAGGAUAAGGCAAGUAUAUGUGGAGCUGCAGCAAGCGACUAGCAUAUAUGGUGGCUAACUUAUAUGCAAAAGAGAGCGAGAAGAGGAGGCAAAGCGCGAGCGAGAAUCUAGAAGAACAACCUGCGCAAGCAUAACUCCAACACCGUGUCCACUUCCCGGACUCCACCGAGAAGGGGCCAUCACGGUAACACACACGGUUGAUUCAUUUUAAUAAAGUUUAUGUUAAAGUUAUCUACAACCGGACAUUAACAAAUUCCCAUCCGCCCAUAACCGCGGGCACGGCUUUCGAAAGUUCAAUCCCUGCAGGGGAGUCCCAACUUAGCCCAUGACAAGCUCUCACGGUCAACGAAGGAAUAGACCUCCACCCAAGACACACCGAUCAGACUCGGUAUCCCGGUACAACAAGACGAUUCGACAGGUUAAAACUAGACCAGCAACACCGCCCGAAUGUGCCGACAAAUCCCGAUAGGAGCUGCACAUAUCUCGUUCUCAGGGCACACUCAGAUGAGCAAUCCGUACAACUAAAACCAGCCCUCGAGUUUCCCCGAGGUGGCGCUGCACAGGGCUCUAGUUCGGACCAACACUCAGAGGAGCACUGGCCCGUGGGGGGGCUAAAAUAAAGAUGACCCUCGGGCUAAGGAAACCCAAGGGAAAAAGAGGCUAGGUGGCAAAUGGUAAAACCAAAGUUGGGCAUUGCUGGAAAAGCUUUAAUCAAGGCGAACUAUCAAGGGGUUCCCAUUAUAGCCCAACCGCGUGAGGGACGCAAAAUCCGGGAACAUAACACCGAUAUGAUGGAAACUAGGGCGGCAAGAGUGGAACAAAACACUAGGCGAGAGGCCGAGCCUUCCACCCUUUACCAAGUAUAUAGAUGCAUUGAGAUAACAUAGCAAUAUAAUGAUAUCCCAACAAGUAAGUAAAUGUUCCAACAAGGAACGACUCCAAUCUUCACCUGCAACUAGCAACGCUAUAAGAGGGGUUGAGCAAAGCGGUAACAUAGCCAAUCAAUGGUUUGCUAGGACAAGGUGGGUUAGAGGUUCAACAUGGCAAUUGGGAGGCUGACAAGCAAAAGGUAGGCAUCAUAGCAUUGGCAUAGCAAAAAGAGCGAGCAAACUAGCAUAGCAAAGAUAGUAGUGAUUUCGAGGGUAUGAUCAUCUUGCCUGCAAAGCUGUCAGAGUUGACUGGAUCCUCAAAAGCAAACUCAACGGGCUCCUCGUUAGCGAACUCGUCUCCCGGCUCUACCCAAACAAGACAAACAAGCAACAAGUAUACAAUCAACCACGUGCAAACUCAAACAAAAAGAUGGAAUGAUGAUAUGCUAUGCGGGAUGCGAUGCGGGAUGCAAAAUGCAAGACAAGACAGGAAAUGCAUGAGCCUGGCCUCAACCUGGAAAACCAAGUGUUCCACUAGAAAGAUGGGAUGAAAUCGCUUGAAAACGAUAUAAAGAUCAUUGGAAUCAGAGUUACGGUUUGGAAAUGGCAAGCGUUUUAAGAUAUGACACCGGUCUGCGAUUUACAGCAAGUAGGCAUCUAAAUGCAAUGAAAUGAACAUGCUACAACCACCAAACAUGACAACAAAAUACAUGGCAGGGAUGCACACAAGAUGCUUAACAAAAACUAGCACUGAGCCACGGCCAAUUCAUCCAUUAUGAGGUUCAACCAAGCAUGGCAAAAACGCAAAUGCAAAACAGAUUUCAGACUUAGUGAAAUUAACACUUGUCUGAAAUUUCAGAUCAAGAAGCCCUCUUCGGAGCAGCAAAACAACAUGAUACAUGACCUGAUUAUGAUAAAUAUACUAACUAGCACACGAACAUAGCUCAAACACAAUCAGUUUUCAGACUUAGUGAAAACUGAGACAUGCUGAAAUUUAACUCAUGAAGGCAUGUAAACGAGCUCGAUGCACUCACUACGGUGCAAGUCAUGGCAAGGCAAGCAUACAACCAUUAAGAAGGCACAAAAUUCUAGCUAGACAUGGCAAGAACAAAGGCAUAGCAUGCACGGAUCAACUACAAUAACUCCGGCAAAAUCGCAAACGAGUUGAUGAUCUGCCCAGAUUCACAACGAAGCAAAAGUAGAGCUCGAUUGACUAAAGCUAGGGUGAUCCAUAAUUGCAAGUAAAGACAUGGAUGGAUAGAGCAUAACAUGAUUAACAAAACUCCUUUACUGAUCAUCCUCAAAAGAGGCACGGAUCACUAGGAAACAAGCUGAACAUAUGGCAUCAUGAACUAAAUAAUCCCAGACUUAGUGAAAACAACUAAGUCCCUGAAAACAGAUUUACUGGGUGCCUCACUUUGCAAGCUUGCACAAGUCACCACACACAUCCUAAAAAUGCAUGGGUUGCACCUAUGGAAAGAAGACAAAAUGCUUAACAAAUCAUAUGAAGGACUCGCAGGCAUAUCAUGCACACAACACUCAUGACAAAAAUGACAAAUGUCUAAGAUGAACUAGCAGAUCUGACAAAUAUCUCACGAAGCCCCCUUCUAGCAGCAUUUCUGGCAUCAAGAUGAACUCAAAUGAAAAUGAUGCAAUGGAAUGAAAUGAUGUACUCGUCGAGACGAACAUUUUGAUAUACUAAAUGUCCAAAACGGAGCUAUGGAUGCGGAGAUAUGGCAGGUCAAAGUUUGCUCGAAAAUUAGGGUUUCGGGAGGAGAACGUCAACCGGAUCUCAGAUCUGGAUCGGGCGGCGCGGAUUACGAGGUUCGCCGGACUCUUCGCCGGAGACAAGGGAGGAGGCCGGAGCAGCGGGGAGAGGCCGGAUUCGGAGUGGUGCGGUGAGGGGCGGCCCGGUCGCCGGAGUUGGAGCGGCGUGGGGGCGUCGGGCGGCUCGGCGGCGGCGGGCGGCGGCNNNNNNNNNNNNNNNNNNNNNNNNNNNNNNNNNNNNNNNNNNNNNNNNNNNNNNNNNNNNNNNNNNNNNNNNNNNNNNNNNNNNNNNNNNNNNNNNNNNNNNNNNNNNNNNNNNNNNNNNNNNNNNNNNNNNNNNNNNNNNNNNNNNNNNNNNNNNNNNNNNNNNNNNNNNNNNNNNNNNNNNNNNNNNNNNNNNNNNNNNNNNNNNNNNNNNNNNNNNNNNNNNNNNNNNNNNNNNNNNNNNNNNNNNNNNNNNNNNNNNNNNNNNNNNNNNNNNNNNNNNNNNNNNNNNNNNNNNNNNNNNNGCGGCGGCGGUCGCGGCGGCUACCGGCAAGGCGGCGGCGAUGGCGAUGCGGCGGCGAUGGUGGCUCCGGGCGGCGCUCGGGCGGCGCUGGGCGGCGGGGACGAGCGCUGGGCGGCGGCCCGCGGUGGCGGAGUCGGGGGCCGACUUUGGGCCUUUGGGCCCGGCGGCGGCUGGUGGUUGGCGCCGCCCACGUGGCAGCUCGAGAUUGGCGGGGGGCGCGGCGGACGUUGUCCGGCCUGGCGUGGACACGUCCGUCGGCGGCAGGAUCCCUUUUUUUAGACUAGGGUUUCGGGGAGAGAGAGAUCCGAAAAUGGAGGGGGGCUAUUUAUAGGCAUAAGUGGAGCUAGGAGAUUCCAAAUGAGGUGUGGUUUUCGGCCACGCGAUCGUGAUCGAACGCUCUAGAUGAUGGAGCAAAGUUUGGUGGGUUUUGGGCCAAAUUGGAGGGGUGUUGGGCUGCAACACACACGAGGUCUUUUCGGUCCCUCGGUUAACCGUUGGAGUAUCAAACGAAGUCCAAAUGAUACGAAACUUGACAGGCGGUCUACAGGUAGUAAACAAGGCCGCAUGACAAGUCUCGGUACAAUCCGGAAAAGUUUAAUCCCCACACACGAAAGAAAGCUAGAAAUGAUCACCGGAGGAGAACGAAGCGCCAAAAUGCAAAACGGACAACGGGGAAAAUCCUCGAAUGCAUGAGAUGAACACGUAAGAGAAUGCAAUGCACAUGAUGACAUGAUAUGAGAUGCAUGAAAACAAAAACAACACACGGAGACAAAGGCCCGAACCCGAGAAAUAAAUAUAACUUAAAACCGGAAAUGGCAAGAGUUGGAGUACAAAUUGGGAAAGUUAUAUCUGGGGCGUUACAACACUCCACCACUACGAAAGGAUCUCGUCCCGAGAUCUAGGACUGAAAGAAUGCCGGGUACUUAGAACGGAGGUGAUCCUCGUGUUCCCAGGUAGCUUCACGGUCGGAAUGGUGAGACCACUUGACUUUGAGAAAUUUGAUUGACUUGUUGCGAGUCUUGCGUUCAGUCUCUUCAAGAAUAGCAACUGGGUGCUAACGAUAGGAGAGAUCUUCUUGGAGCUCAAUGUCCUCGAAGUUGACUGUGCGGUCAGGAGUCUUGAAGCACUUUCGAAGCUGAGAGACAUGGAACACAUCAUGAACAUUUGCAAAGUUUGAAGGAAGCUCGAGUUGAUAGGCAAGGUCGCCUCUCUUGCUGACAAUCUUGAAAGGUCCCACAUAUCUAGGGGCAAGCUUCCCUUUGAUACCGAAGCGACGAGUACCUUUCAUAGGAGAGACGUGGAGGUAAACAUGAUCUCCGAUCUCGAAAACCAAGUCACGGUGCUUACUAUCAUAGUAGCUCUUCUGGCGGGAUUGGGCUGCUUUGAGGUUAUCACGAAUGACUUUGCACAUUUCUUCUGCCUUUGUGAUUAAGUCAUUACCCAGCAGCUGACGUUCACCAGUUUCAGACUAGUUGAGAGGGGUACGGCACUUCCUGCCAUACAGAAUUUCAAAUGGGGCCUUGCCCGAACUUGCUUGAAAACUGUUGUUGUAUGAGAAUUCAGCAUAAGGAAGACAAUUCUCCCAUUUCAUGCCGAAGGAAAUCACACAAGCCCUGAGCAUAUCUUCAAGAAUCCGGUUGACACGCUCGACUUGACCGCUUGUUUGAGGAUGGAAAGCAGUGCUGAAGCGGAUGUUGGUGCCCAUGGCCUUUUGAAAAGAAUCCCAAAACUUGGAGGUAAAGAUGCUGCCACGGUCUGAAGAUAUCACUUGAGGAAUACCGUGCAGAGAGACAAUUCGAGAGGUAUAGAGUUCCGCCAAUUGAGCUGCAGUGAUCGACUCUUUGAUCGGCAGAAAGUGAGCCACUUUGGUGAGCUUGUCGAUGACAACGAAUAUAGCAUCAUUGCCAUGCUUGGACUUUGGAAACCCAGUCACGAAGUCCAUUUCAAUGUGGUCAAACUUCCAUUCUGGAAUGGCAAGAGGUUGGAGGAGACCUGCUGGCCUUUGAUGUUCUACCUUCACUCUUCUACAGACAUCACACUCGUUCACGAAUUGAGCGAUCUCGCACUUCAUUCGAGUCCACCAAUAAGCUUGCUUGAGAUCCUGAUACAUCUUCGUACUCCCAGGGUGGAUGGAGAGGAGAGAAUUGUGAGCCUCAUUCAUGAUCACUCUACGGAGGUCACCUUUGGGUACAACAAUUCGAUCCUCGAAGAAGAGAGUGUCCUUGUAAUCAAGGCGGUAGCACUUGUACUUGGACUGACUCUUUGCAAUACCAAUCUUCACCUUUUUCACCAUAGCAUCAAGAAGCUGGGCUUGGCGAAUCUGGUCUUCUAAGGUAGGAGAGACGUGAAGGUUGGCGAGGAAACCUUGAGGAACAACUUGCAGAUUCAGUUUGCGGAAAGCUUCACAAAGCUCGGGUUGAUAAGGCUUAAGAAUCAGACUGUUGCAAUACGCUUUCCUACUCAAAGCGUCAGCGAUCACAUUGGCCUUGCCUGGAGUAUACUCGAUACUCGGAUUAAACUCUUGAAUCAUUUCGACCCAUCGAGUUUGCCUGAGGUUGAGAUUAGGCUGAGUGAAGAUGUACUUGAGACUCUUGUGAUCAGUGAAAAUAUCCACUUUUCUUCCCAAUAGAAGAUGUCUCCAAGUCAACAGAGCAUGCACAACUGCCGCCAACUCUAGAUCAUGAGUGGGGUAGUUCUUCUCAUUAGGUUUCAACUGGCGGGAGGUAUAAGCAACAACUUUCUUCUCUUGCAUCAAGACUGCACCGAGACCUUGGAGAGAGGCAUCACAAAAGACCUUGUACGGCUUGGAUUCAUCAGGCGGAGUCAAAACUGGAGCAGUGAUCAACUUCUCUUUCAAAGUGUUGAAAGCAAUAUCACACUCCGGAGACCAAACGUACUUGACGUGCUUCUGAAGAAGAUUUGAGAGAGGCUUUGUGAUCUUAGAAAAGUUUUCAACGAAUCUUCUGCAAUAGCUUGUGAGACCGAGGAAACUGCGGAGUUGCUUCACGUUCUAAGGAGGUUCCCAAUUAACAAUUGCAGACACCUUCUCAGGAUUCAUGGCAAUGCCCUUGGCAGAGAUGAUAUGACCAAGAUAAAGAACCUCAUCGAGCCAAAAUUCACACUUGGAGAACUUGGCGUAGAAUUGAUGUUCCCUGAGCUUAUCAAGCACCAAACGCAAGUGUUUGGCAUGAUCUUCCUUGUUCUUGGAGAAAACCAGAAUGUCGUCGAGAUAGACCAAAACGAAGUCAUUGGUGUAGGCGUUGAAGAUGAAGUUCAUCAUGCGAGAGAACGUCGGAGGAGCGUUGACGAGGCCAAAAGACAUGACAGUGUAUUCAUAUGAACCAAAGCUUGUCCUGAAAGGCGUCUUGGGAAUAUCUUGCUCACGGAUACGAAUCUGAUGAUAACCCAUACGGAGAUCAAGCUUGGAGAAUACUUGGGCACCUUUGAGUUGUUCGAACAGCUCAAUGAUGUUAGGAAGUGGGUAUUUGUUCUUGAUGGUCUUCUUGUUCAAUGGUCGGUAAUCAACACAAAGUCGGUCCGUUCCAUCCUUCUUCUUCACAAAAAGAACACCACAACCCCACGGAGAAGAACUAGGCCGGAUGAGACCCAUUCUCUCUUGCUCAUCGAGUUGUUUCUUCAGCUCCUUCAACUCUUCAGGUCCGAGCUUGUAAGGACGUUUGCACACAGGUUCCGUGCCGGGCUCAAGAUCAAUAACGAAUUCAACUGGCCGGUGCGGAGGCAUUCCUGGGAGCUCUUCUGGAAAGACGUCUUGAUAUUCGCAAACGACUGGAAUUUGUGAGAUAGCAUCCAGUUCACCCUUCUCAUUGAGAGAAAACAGACGGAUGGUAUCAUCACGAGCGGCAAAGACAAUUACAUCCUCAGACGCAUGAGUCAAUUGAAUCUGCCUGGUUGCACAAUCAAGCUGAGCCUUGUGCUUAGAAAGCCAAUCCAUUCCGAGAAUAAGAUCAAUAUCCGAAUCGCCAAGAACAUUUGGAGAGGACAAGAACUUAUAGUUACCCAAAGUGAUAGUAACAUCCGGAACACAUACUCGAGAUGUCAUUUGACGGGCCGGAGAAACAAUAGCCAACGGUUUCGACAGCACUUGAGUAACAAAAUCAUGCUUGGAAGCAAAAGGUCUCGAGAUGAAACAAUGCGAUGCACCAGUAUCAAAAAGAACUCUUGCAGGAAUAUCGUUAAUAGGAAGGUUACCCAUGAUGACAUCUGAAGAAUCCUCUGCCUGAGCUGCAUUCACCAUAUUGACCUUGGCGUACUUGGGAUUAUGCUUGACCACAGCUAUACUUGCCGAUCUCACAGGAGGAGGAGGAGGAAGACGCCUCUGGUUGAAACACUUGUUGGCAUAGUGACCCUUUUCUUGGCACUUGUUGCACGUGACCUCUGAAAGCGGACAGUGGUACGGAGCACUCGAUCUUGGAGGUUGAGAUGAAGACUUGUUCUGAAAGCCAGGGUUGGGUGGGUGGGAAGAACCACUGCCACCUUUGCUCUUCUGCUGAUACGGCUGACGGAACGGAGGAGGAGGAAGCCAAUACUUCUGCUGCUUAGCCACUUGAGUAGAGGAAGAAGGAGUAGCAUCUCUGACUCGCUUCCUGGAAGCAUCACACCUCAACUGAGCAGCCUCUUGCUUCAGUGCCAUGUUGUAGAACUCAUCGUAUCUCAACGGCUCGAAGAGGACAAGAGCGAGUUGAAUUUCUUCACGGAGACCACCCCUGAACUGAUAUAUCAUGCUCUUCUCAUCUGGGACGUCCUACUUGGCAAAGUGGGCGAGCUUCUGGAACAACUUGUUGUAGUCAUAGAAGGACAAAGAGCCUUGCUUCAGAUUGCGGAAUUCCUGACGCUUACUCUCAACCACACUUUGAGGGAUGUGAUGAGCUCAGAAAUCUUGACGGAAAUCAUCCCAAGUGAUCAAGCAUCCACCUCUGGAAUCCUUGUACUGCUGGAACCAUCCUGCAGCCUGAUCUUUGAGCUGGAAAGAAGCGAACUUGACGAAAUCUUCAAGCCUGACGUUGCUGCAUUCAAAAUGCUUGCCCAGAUCCACAAGCCAAUCGUCAGCAUCAGAAGCCUCAACACAAUUGCUGAACGUCUUUGGACCAUUAGCAAGGAACUGGUUCAGUGUAGCAAAGUGGUUCUGAUUGUUGCCUUGAUUCCCUUGCCUGCCUUGAUUGUGCUGUUGGAGGAUUUGCAUGAUCAACUAUGUGUUUGCAUUGGUUGCGGCCAUCACAGCUUGCCAUGCCUCCGGAGGAGGUGGAGGUGGUGGAUCUUGAUUCUGGUUCUGACUGGUGCUCUUAGCGGGAGCCAUCCUGAAGAGGUUGACCACCAUUAGCACAUAGAUAGAUAAAUGAAGCUGAAACCAACGGAAUGAAAAUUGCAACAUAAAGUCUUCAUAUCCAAACAAAAUGAACGAAUGCAUUUCCCUUGAAGUGGUCACAUAUCCCUAAAUUGUGAAGCCACGUAGAAUUAGGUAGAAGAAUUAAAUCAACAAGGUACAGAUCAAGAACGAAUAAUCGGUAAGAAAUCCCAAUCUCAAACCAAUAUCCGUGGAAGAAGAACUAGAGCUACGAGAAUUCCCACCUAUGAAACUCCCGAAAUUUUCCAGUUAUGCAAUCAGGUGUUGGGGAUACAGGGGAAGUAUAAUAUCUCACCCAAACUAACAAUUCCUACAUCCAGCUGUAUCCAUCCUUCAACACAUAACCAAGAAACCUUGGAAACCAUCUACCUCAACCUUCGAAAAGCAUCCAUUAUACAAGUUAUGGCGAUACUCCCGAACUCUCGCCCCAGUACUGGGUGGCGUCGAGGUUAUCUCACCAACGAACUGCAUAAAAGAGAUUUUCGAUGUCGGCGAAAAUAUCUCAAGUAUUCCAGAAUUGCAACGAUAAAAUUAUGAUGACAACACCUUAGAGCUCAACUCCCCGGGACACUUCCACUAAACACCUGACAGGAGGCACCAAGACAGUAUUCUCAUCAUAAGCCAUCGGAAUGAUUCCAAGAUACUCGCGUGAUCCUAAAAAAAAUUUAGUGAAAUUUGAGAAGAGAAGAGUCAAAACUCUACGUCAGGAUGCCUUACCAGAGCGAUGAGGAGACUGGGAAGUAAAAAAGAAUUCCUAAGCUCUCCGAUAUAUAAUUCCUAAGUGACUCACAACAUUUUUCUAGACACAACUCGGCUGCUAAAAACGAUCAAGCAAUGGGGCUCCUAAGGUCGGGGAAGGCUUUGAUUACCAACUUAUAACGCCCUCGAUGUGGCUAUAGCUCCCACGUGUCGAGGCACGACUUAGAGACAUAACCGCAUUGAAAGCAAUGUCGCAAGUUAGGCAAAUCAUCACAACAUCCCAUGUAAUAUAAGUAAUAAAGGGGAGAUACAUAGUUGGCUUCCACUCGCCACGUCACAUCAAAGUACAUAAAUAACAUCCAUCAUUCAAACACUCAUGGCCCGACUACGGUGCCAAAAUAGAAAAAAAGGAACCCAACAUGCGACAAGGCCCUGAAUCGAACCCCAACUAGGCACCACUACUGAUCAUCAGGAAAAGACACGUAGUAACACUGAGAGUCCUCGUCGAACUCCCACUUGAGCUCGUACUCGUCACCUGGAGCGGAAUCACCUGGACCUGCAUCUGGAGUUAUAGUAAUCCGUGAGCCACAGGGACUCAGCAAUCUCACACCCUCGCGAUCAAGACUAUUUAAGCUGAUAGGAAGGAUAAGGCAAGUAUAUGUGGAGCUGCAGCAAGCGACUAGCAUAUAUGGUGGCUAACUUAUAUGCAAAAGAGAGCGAGAAGAGGAGGCAAAGCGCGAGCGAGAAUCUAGAAGAACAACCUGCGCAAGCAUAACUCCAACACCGUGUCCACUUCCCGGACUCCGCCGAGAAGGGGCCAUCACGGUAACACACACGGUUGAUUCAUUUUAAUAAAGUUUAUGUUAAAGUUAUCUACAACCGGACAUUAACAAAUUCCCAUCUGCCCAUAACCGCGGGCACGGCUUACGAAAGUUCAAUCCCUGCAGGGGAGUCCCAACUUAGCCCAUGACAAGCUCUCACGGUCAACAAAGGAAUAGACCUCCACCCAAGACACACCGAUCAGACUCGGUAUCCCGGUACAACGAGACGAUUCGACAGGUUAAAACUAGACCAGCAACACCGCCCGAAUGUGCCGACAAAUCCCGAUAGGAGCUGCACAUAUCUCGUUCUCAGGGCACACUCAGAUGAGCAAUCCGUACAACUAAAACCAGCCCUCGAGUUUCCCCGAGGUGGCGCUGCACAGGGCUCUAGUUCGGACCAACACUCAGAGGAGCACUGGCCCGUGGGGGGCUAAAAUAAAGAUGACCCUCGGGCUCCGGAAACCCAAGGGAAAAAGAGGCUAGGUGGCAAAUGGUAAAACCAAAGUUGGGCAUUGCUGGAAAAGCUUUAAUCAAGGCGAACUAUCAAGGGGUUCCCAUUAUAGCCCAACCGCGUGAGGGACGCAAAAUCCGGGAACAUAACACCGAUAGGACGGAAACUAGGGCGGCAAGAGUGGAACAAAACACUAGGCGAGAGGCCGAGCCUUCCACCCUUUACCAAGUAUAUAGAUGCAUUGAGAUAACAUAGCAAUAUAAUGAUAUCCCAACAAGUAAGUAAAUGUUCCAACAAGGAACGGCUCCAAUCUUCACCUGCAACUAGCAACGCUAUAAGAGGGGCUGAGCAAAGCGGUAACAUAGCGAAUCAAUGGUUUGCUAGGACAAGGUGGGUUAGAGGUUCAACAUGGCAAUUGGGAGGCUGACAAGCAAAAGGUAGGCAUCGUAGCAUUGGCAUAGCAAAAAGAACGAGCAAACUAGCAUAGCAAAGAUAGUAGUGAUUUCGAGGGUAUGAUCAUCUUGCCUGCAAAGCUGUCAGAGUUGACUGGAUCCUCAAAAGCAAACUCAACGGGCUCCUCGUUAGCGAACUCGUCUCCCGGCUCUACCCAAACAAGACAAACAAGCAACAAGGAUACAAUCAACCAUGUGCAAACUCAAACAAAAAGAUGCAAUGAUGAUAUGCUAUGCGGGAUGCGAUGCGGGAUGCAAAAUGCAAGACAUGACAGGAAAUGCAUGAGCCUGGCCUCAACCUGGAACAAGUGUUCCACUAGAAAGAUGGGAUGAAAUCGCUUGAAAACGAUAUAAAGAUCAUUGGAAUCGGAGUUACGGUUUGGAAAUGGCAAGCGUUUUAAGAUAUGACACCGGUCUGCGAUUUAUAGCAAGUAGGCAUCUAAAUGCAAUGAAAUGAACAUGCUACAGCCACCAAACAUGACAAAAAAAUACAUGGCAGGGAUGCACACAAGAUGCUUAACAAAAGACUAGCACUGAGCCACAUCCAAUUCAUCCAUUAUAAGGUUCAAACAAGCAUGGCAAAAACGCAAAUGCAAAACAGAUUUCAGACUUAGUGAAAUUAACACUUGUCUGAAAUUUCAGAUCACGAAGCCCUCUUCGGAGCAGCAAAACAACAUGAUACAUGACCUAAUUAUGAUAAAUAAGAACAUGGCAUGGAGCUACUCAACAAGCUUAACAAAAUACCCAAAGUGACCUGGGGCCAAAAGGGUUCACAAAAUAUACUAACUAGCACAUGAACAUAGCUCAAACACAAUCAGUUUUCAGACUUAGUGAAAACUGAGACAUGCUGAAAUUUAACUCACGAAGGCAUGUAAACGAGCUCGAUGCACUCACUACAGUGCAAGUCAUGGCAAGGCAAGCAUACAUCCAUUAAGAAGGCACAAAAUUCUAGCUAGACAUGGCAAAAACAAAGGCAUAGCAUGCACGGAUGAACUACAAUAACUCCGGCAAAAUCGCAAACGAGUUGACGAUCUGCCCAGAUUCACAACGAAGCAAAAGUAGAGCUCGAUUGACUCAAGCUAGGGUGCUCCAUAAUUGCAAGUAAAGACAUGGAUGGAUAGAGCAUAACAUGAUUAACAAAACUUCUUUACUGAUCAUCCUCAAAAGAGGCACGGAUCACUAGGAAACAAGCUGAACAUAUGGCAUCAUGAACUAAAUAAUCCAGACUUGAUGAAAACAACUAAGUCCCUGAAAACAGAUUUACCGGGUGUCUCACUUUGCAAGCUUGCACAAGUCACCACACACAUCCUAAAAAUGCAUGGGUCGCACCUCUAGAAAGAAGACAAAAUGCUUAACAAGUCAUAUGGAGGACUCAUAGGCAUAUCAUGCACACAACACUCAUGACAAAAAUGACAAAUGUCUAAGAUGAACUAGCAGAUCUGACAAAUAUCUCACGAAGCCCCCUUCUAGCAGCAUUUCGGGCAUCAAGAUGAACUCAAAUAAAAAUGAUGCAAUGGAAUGAAAUGAUGUACUCGUCGAGGCGAACAUUUUGAUAUACUAAAUGUCCAAAACAGAGCUACAGAUGCGGAGGUAUGGCAGGUCAAAGUUUGCUCGAAAAUUAGGGUUUCGGGAGGAGAAAGUCAACCGGAUCUCAGAUCUGGAUCGGGCGGCGCGGAUUACGAGGUUCGCCGGACUCUUCGCCGGAGACGAGGGAGGAGGCCGAAGCAGCGGGGAGAGGCCGGAUCCGGAGUGGUGCGGCGAGGGGCGGCCCGGUCGCCGGAGUUGGAGCGGCGUGGGGGCGUCGGGCANNNNNNNNNNNNNNNNNNNNNNNNNNNNNNNNNNNNNNNNNNNNNNNNNNNNNNNNNNNNNNNNNNNNNNNNNNNNNNNNNNNNNNNNNNNNNNNNNNNNNNNNNNNNNNNNNNNNNNNNNNNNNNNNNNNNNNNNNNNNNNNNNNNNNNNNNNNNNNNNNNNNNNNNNNNNNNNNNNNNNNNNNNNNNNNNNNNNNNNNNNNNNNNNNNNNNNNNNNNNNNNNNNNNNNNNNNNNNNNNNNNNNNNNNNNNNNNNNNNNNNNNNNNNNNNNNNNNNNNNNNNNNNNNNNNNNNNNNNNNNNNNNNNNNNNNNNNNNNNNNNNNNNNNNNNNNNNNNNNNNNNNNNNNNNNNNNNNNNNNNNNNNNNNNNNNNNNNNNNNNNNNNNNNNNNNNNNNNNNNNNNNNNNNNNNNNNNNNNNNNNNNNNNNNNNNNNNNNNNNNNNNNNNNNNNNNNGGGGCCGACUUUGGGCCUUCGGGCCCGGCGGCGGCUGGUGGUUGGCGCUGCCCACGUGGCAGCUCGGGAUUGGCGGGGGGCGCGGCGGACGUUGUCCGGCCUGGCGCGGACACGUCCGUCGGCGGCAGGAUCCCUUUUUUUUAGACUAGGGUUUCGGGGAGAGAGAGAUCCGAAAAUGGAGGGGGGCUAUUUAUAGGCAUAAGUGGAGCUAGGAGAGUCCAAAUGAGGUGCGGUUUUCGGCCACGCGAUCGUGAUCGAACUCUCUAGAUGAUGGAGCAAUGUUUGGUGGGUUUUGGGCCAAAUUGGAGGGGUGUUGGGCUGCAACACACACGAGGUCUUUUCGGUCCCUCGGUUAACCAUUGGAGUAUCAAACAAAGUCCAAAUGAUACGAAACUUGACAGGCGGUCUAUCGGUAGUAAACCAAGGCCGCAUGACAAGUCUCAGUCCAAUCCGGAAAAGUUUAAUCCCCACACACGAAAGAAAGCUAGAAAUGAUCACCGGAGGAGAACGAAGCGCCGGAAUGCAAAACGGACAACAAGGAAAAUGCUCAAAUGCAUGAGAUGAACACGUAUGCGAAUGCAAUGCACAUGAUGACAUGAUAUGAGAUGCAUGAAAACGAAAACAACACACGGAGACAAAGACCCGAACCCGAGAAAUAAAUAUAACUUAAAACCGGAAACGGCAAGAGUUGGAGUACAAAUUGGGAAAGUUAUAUCUGGGGCGUUACAUGAGCCAACGAUGAAAGAAUUUGAAAGAUCUUGGAGAAAGACAUUUGACUGAUGAUAAUUCAUUCUUACGUCAAACUUUGACAAGAAAUUUGAGAAUAACUCCGGGAAAAAUAAGAAGAGUCAGGUAAGAUUCUGGGAAAAGACCUGUGGGUUAGGGCCCACUCAAAAGAAACACCGUUGAAAUGAUUGCUUGAAAAGAGAGAUUGCACCGAUUGAAUUAAAAGGCUAGAAUAAGAUAACAAUAUCAAAAGAUCUUGAAAGAAUCUUGAAUGACAAGAUUAGCCUUUUGAGAAAAUUUGAGCAUGCCGGAAUAAAUGAAUAGCGAGAAGUGAAUGAUUAAGAAUUGCACCGGCAUGAGAAGGCAUUGAAAUGAGGAAAAGGGUAAGGUCAACAAAGCUUGACUUGAAAUCACCAGAGAAGAUAAAAGAAACGAAGAAUGAUGAACUAGAAGCUCCAUUAGAAUCUUCAUGAGAAUCACCGGAUAAGAAUAUUGACAGGAAAGGAUGGAGAGACUUCACAAGAAUGAAAGAUACUUGAUAAAGACAUCUAAGUCCUUAAAGAAACAAAGGGAGGGAGGGUGGGAAAAACAAAGGCAACUUGGAGACGGAUGAAACAAACAACGUUGAGAAGAAACUGAUACUUGAUCUUGCAGAUGUUGAAAUGAUCGGACCCACUUGAAGAGAAGCACACCGGUUAAAAAGGAUUGGCAAAAACAAUCUGGAUGAAAAAGAAGGAUUAGUAUUCACAUCGGAGUAUGAGAACACCGUUUCAGAAAGGUAUUGAAUCAACAUUUGACUUUGAAGCAACUCGAAUACCACAACUCAAAACAAAAACAAAAUGAUUGGCUUGCAGAAUAAGCCAGAACAAACAUAUGAUAGAGAUUUCGUCCGAAGUUUUCGUGGUGGGGCCUACACGGGCUCGAUCAUACAGCACCAUCAUGUACAAGGCAGUGCACAUGACAUACGAAGCGUCCCCGAGUCGGCAUAGCCAAGGACUCUUUAAGACACAACGAGACCACUGUAAAAUCGACCGUGAAUAGGCGUACCACUAGACGUCGAACCCCAAUUUCAUAUCAUACAUCUGUCGGGAAGAUAUCCUAAGAGCUACUUGAAUUCCCACUUAUGAAACUCCCGAAAUUUUCCGGUUAUGCAAUCAGGUGUUGGGGAUACAGAGGAAGCAUAAUAUCUCACCCAAAACUAACAAAUCCUACAUCCAGCUGUAUCCAUCCUUCAACACAUAACCAAGAAACCUUCGGAAAUCAUCUACCUCAACCUUCGAAAAGCAUCCGUUAUACAAGUUAUGGCAAUACUCCCGAACUCCCGCCCCAGUACUGGGUGGCGUCGAGGUUAUCUCACCAACGAACUGCAUAAAAGAGAUUUUCGAUGUCGGCGUACUAAACUCAGGUAUUCCAGAACUGCAACGAUAAAAUUAUGACGACAACACCUCAGAGCUCAACUCCCCGGGACACUUCCACUAAACCCCUGACAGGAGGCACCAAGACAAUGUUCUCAUCAUAAAACCAUCGGAACGAUUCCAAGAUACCCGCGUGAUCCUAAAAUUUUUUAGUGAAAUUUGAGAAGAGAAGAGUCAAAACUCUACAUCAGGAUGCCUUACCAGAGCGAUGAAGGGACUGGGAAGUAAAAAGAAUUCCUAACUCUCUGAUAUAUAAUCCCUAAAUGACUCAAAACAUUUUUCUAGACACAACUCAGCCACUAAAAACGAUCAAGCAAUGGGGGCUCCUAAGGUCGGGGAAGGCUCUGAUACCAACUUGUAACACCCUCGAUGCGACUAUAGCUCCCACGUGUCGAGGCACGACUUAGAGACAUAAUCGCAUUGAAGGCAUAUGUCGCAAGUGAGGUAAUCUUCACACAACCCAUGUAAUACAUAAGGGAAAGAGAUACAUAGUUGGCUUACAAUCGCCACUUCACACAAUUACAUAAAUAAACAUUACAUCAAUCAAAUACACUCAUGGCCCGACUACGGAACCAAAAUAAAAGAAGAACCCCAACUGCGACAAAGGUCCCCUAUCGACCCCAACUGGGCUCCACUACUGAUCAACUAGAAUGAAACAAAACAAAGGACAAGAUCUUCAUCGGGCUCCUCCUGAGCUUGGUUGCGUCAUCUGCACGGACUCAUUGGCACCUGCAAGCUGGUUUUGGAAGUAUCUGUGAGCCACAGGGACUCAGCAAUCUCGCACCCUCGCGAUCAAGACUAUUUAAGCUUAUGGGUAAGGUAAAGGUAUGAGGUGGAGCUGCAGCAAGCGACUAGCAUAUAUGGUGGCUAACAUACGCAAAUUAGAGCGAGAAGAGAAGGCAAAGCACGGUCGAUAAAAGUAUGAUCAAGAAGUGAUCCUAAAACAACCUACGUCAAGCAUAACUCCAACAACCGUGUUCACUUCCCAGACACAGCCGGAAAGAGACCAUCACGGUUACACACGCGGUUGAUUCAUUUUAAUUAAGGUCGACUUCAGGUUUUCUACAACCGGACAUUAACAAAUUCCCAUCUGCCCAUAACCGCGGGCACGGCUUUCGAAAGUUCAAAUCCCUGCAGGGGUGUCCCAACUUAGCCCAUGACAAGCUCUCAUGGUCAACGAAGGAAUAGACCUCCACCCGAGACAUUCCGAUCAGACUCGGUAUCCCGGUAUAACAAGACAUUUCGACAGGGUAAAACUAAACCAGCACCACCGCCCGAAUGUGCCGACAAAUCCCGAUAGGAGCUGCACAUAUCUCUUUCUCAGGGCACACCGGAUCGUCCAAACUUCCGGUAGGCCAGCCCAGAGUUGCCCCUGGUGGCCACCGGCGGCUGACAAGUUGGACCAACACUCAGAGGAGCACUGGCCCGGGGGGUAAAAUAAUGAUGACCCUCAGGAGCGCGACUCCCAAGGGAAAAGAAAAGGCUAGGUGGCAAAUGGUAAAACCAAUGUUGGGCAUUCCUGGAAGAGCUUUACUUAAGGCGAACUGUCAAGGGGUUCCCAUUAUAGCCCAACCGCGUAAGGGACGCAAAAUCCGGGAACAUAACACCGAUAUGACGGAAACUAGGGCGGCAAGAGUGGAACAAAACACCAGGCAUAAGGCCAAGCCUUCCACCCUUUACCAAGUAUAUAGAUGCAUUAAUUAAAAAGAUAUAUUGUGAUAUCCCAACAAGUAAACAUGUUCCCACAAUGAACAACAUCUCCAUGUUCCAACAAGGAACACACUUCAAUCUUCACCUGCAACUAACAACGCUAUAAGAGGGGCUGAGCAAAGCGAUAACAUAGCCAAUCAACGGUUUGCUAGGACAUGGUGGGUUAGAGGUUUGACAUGGCAAUUUGGGAGGCUGACAAGCAAAAGGUAGGCAUCAUAGCAUUGGCAUAGCAAAGAGCGAGCAAACUAGCAUAGCAAAGAUAGUAGUGAUUUCGAGGGUAUGAUCAUCUUGCCUGAAAUCCCGCAAGAAAGAAGAACGAGUCCAUGAAGAAGCCAAACGGACAUAGUCGAACGAAUCCUCACAACACGACGUUAUCGGAACCAACCCGAAGAAGCAACACCGGAAAAGAGCAAACAACAUAGUAAACAACCAUCACAUAAACAUGUCAUGAUGCACAAUCAAGUAUGAUGCAUGUCCGGUUUAAAUAUGCAUGGCAUGGCAAAGUGCACAAACGAUCUUACAAAUUAAGUGGAGCUCAAUAUGCAACGGGUUGCAUAUUGACGGAACACCACAUCCAUUAUUUAGUUCUCUCUCGGUUAUGAACCCAACAAGAUUAAAUGUUGCUAGCAUGGCAAGAGGGUGAAGCAAAGAAAAACCACCUAUCUAGGGAAGUUUAAAUGAGGCCGGAAACAACGAACAACGAUUCCGGUAAAUCCCCAUGUGCAUAUAUUAGGUUUGGUCCUGUUCUGCCCUAAACAUAAUUUUAGAGUUGUUAAGCAUGCAAAAUGAAGCCAUCAUGUUAAACUAGACAUUUUUCUACCCCAUUUACAUAUAAAGUUUAUUAAGUUCGGAGCUACGGUUAAUUAGUUAUGAAUUAAAGCAUUUUAACAUGGCAUAGGAGCAAAAAAUUAAUCAAACAACAUUUUAAACAUUUUAAACAUAGAUGAAAAUGGCAUAUUAUUAAUCUACACAAAAUUCUGAGCAAGUUUCAUAUAUAAAACAUUUUAAUCCGAUGCACGGUUAGUGAGUUAUUAAAUGCAUGAACCAGGGGGACUUUUCUGCAAAACGGGCAAACUCUGGAAAAUUGGACAAAUCGCAGAUCUGUAGAAAAACACAUGUGGGCCGAAUCUGGAACAGGGGCCGAACAGGGCAGGCGCUGGGAGCGGCUCACCCUGGGCUUUGGCCCGUCGGUGGGAGGAGGGAGGCCUGCAGGGGCUAUGCUGGACUGGGUAAGGCAGGCGACUGGGCUUCGGCGCAGGCGCGGUGUUGGGCCNNNNNNNNNNNNNNNNNNNNNNNNNNGGCGCACCUGGCAGCCCACACAGCUAGCCAUCUGGGCCGGUGCGGGGCCCAUCAAGGCGAUAGGAGGAACCGCAUCAUCCUCCUCGUGCUCCUAGGUGAGCAGGAAGCCAUGGAAGGCGGCGGCGGCGGCUUGACGUCGGUGAGGCACGGAGGAGUGCCCAGAGGUACGGAUCCGGACGGGAUCCACCUGAUCCGUCCGUUUCCGGCGCCGGUGGGGAGCUCCGGUGAGCGGGGCGACCAAGGCGGACGACGGGUGCCUACGGGAGAGAGAGAAAGAGGAUGAGAGGGAGAAAGAGGAGGCAGGUAGGGGAAGGAAGGAGAGCGGCGCGGUGACCUGGCCUGGGGAGAUGGCGGCACGCCGGCGAGGUGCACAACGGCGGCGGGGCCCAAGGUCGUCAACGGGAGGGGUGAUGGUGGCGCUCCCCCGAUCCAGCUCGGGGUCGAGCAGGAGGAGGGCGCGGGCUGCGCGAGGAACGGACGCGUCGGNNNNNNNNNNNNNNNNNNNNNNNNNNNNNNNNNNNNNNNNNNNNNNNNNNNNNNNNNNNNNNNNNNNNNNNNNNNNNNNNNNNNNNNNNNNNNNNNNNNNNNNNNNNNNNNNNNNNNNNNNNNNNNNNNNNNNNNNNNNNNNNNNNNNNNNNNNNNNNNNNNNNNNNNNNNNNNNNNNNNNNNNNNNNNNNNNNNNNNCGGGCGGCCGCGCGGGCCUGGGCGGGCCGCGCCUGGGCUCGGCGGGUCGCGGUGAAGUGGGGCACUAGGGAGGCGACGUGGCAGCGCCCGGUUGGCCAGGGCGACGCCUCAGGUGGCGGCUGGCCUUUGGCAACGCCCCAAGUGGCGACGGGAAGGUGGCUGCGCGCGGAAAUCGAGGAGAAGGUGGCUGGCGGCUGCGGGGAUUCCGAAGGGAAGGCUAGAAGUAGGUGGAGGGGGUUUAGGGUUCUAAAAAUGGAAGGGGAAGGUCUAUAUAUAGACAAGGGGGCUAUGUUAGGGGGAUUUUAGUCCGUUCCGGAGCCGUUCGAUCCCGAUCGGACGACCCGGAGCGGAGGGGGUUAGAUAGGUGGGCUAGUGGUCUGUGAAGAGAGGAGAGGAGUGCAGCCCGGCAACUGUUUCCGCAGACUAUAAUGUCGCUAUAGUUAUCCGUUGGGCUAUCAAACGAACUCCGAAUGCGAUGAAACCUGGCAGGCGGCCUACCUACAACAUAACAAGACCGCACGCCAACUCUCAUCCCAUUCUGAGAACAUUUUGCGGCCACUUAUAAAAUAAUAUUUUGGACAUGCCGCGGGCGCGUGCAAGUGUGUCUGGGCUCAGAACGGACAACGGACGAAACGAGGAGACCGGGACAAAUGCAAGUUUUGAAAACAUGAUGAUGCAAUGCACAUGAUGACAUGAUAAGAUGCAACACGCAAGCAAAUGACAUGGCAACGACGGCGAAUAACUGGACGACAACUGGCACAUCGGUCUCGGGGCGUUACAUUAUGCUACUACUGAAAAAGAAUUUUUAGCAGUUGUAUUUGCUUGUGAUAAGCUCAGACCUUAUAUUGUUGAUUCUAAAGUAACUUUUCACACUGAUCAUGCUGCUAUUAAAUACCUUAUGGAAAAGAAAUAUGCUAAACCUAGACUUAUUAGAUGGGUUCUCUUGCUAUAAGAAUUUGAUUUGCAUAUUAUUGAUAGAAAGGGAGUUGAGAACCCCGUUGCAGACAACUUGUCUAGGUUAGAGAAUGUUCUUGAUGACCCACUACCUAUUGAUGAUAGCUUUCCUGGUGAACAAUUAAAUGUCAUAAAUGCUUCUGGUACUGCUCCAUGGUAUGCUGAUUAUGCUAAUUAUAUUGUUGCUAAAUUUAUACCACCUAUUUUCACAUACCAGCAAAAGAAAAGGUUCUUCUAUGAUUUAAGGCAUUACUUGUGGGAUGACCCACAUCUUUAUAAAGGAGUAGAUGGUGUUAUUAGACGUUGUGUACCUGAGCAUGAACAGGAACAGAUCCUAUGCAAGUGUCACUUUGAAGCCUAUGGAGGACACCAUGCUGGAGAUAGAACUGCACAUAAGGUAUUGCAAUCCGGUUUCUAUUGGCCUAAUCUCUUCAAGGAUGCCCGUAAGUUUGUCUUGUCUUGUGAUGAAUGUCAAAGAAUUGGUAAUAUUAGUAGACGUCAGGAAAUGCCUGUGAAUUAUUCACUUGUUAUUGAACCAUUUGAUGUUUGGGGCUUUGAUUAUAUGGGACCGUUUCCUUCCUCUAAUGGGUAUACACAUAUUUUAGUUGUUGUUGAUUACAUUACUAAGUGGGUAGAAGCUAUUCCAACUAGUAGUGCUGAUCAUAACACCUCUAUUAAGAUGCUUAAAGAAGUUAUUUUUCCGAGGUUUGGAGUCCCUAGAUAUUUAAUGACUAAUGAUGGUUCACAUUUUAUUCAUGGUGCUUUUCGUAAAAUGCUUGCUAAGUAUGAUGUUAAUCAUAGAAUUGCAUCUCCAUAUCACCCGCGGUCUAGUGGUCAAGUGGAAUUGAGUAAUAGAGAGCUCAAAUUAAUUUUGCAAAAGAUUGUUAAUAGAUCUAGAAAAAAUUGGUCCAAGAAACUUAAUGAUGCAUUAUGGGCUUAUAGAACUGCAUAUAAAAAUCUUAUGGGUAUGUCUCCGUAUAAAAUGGUUUAUGGUAAAGCAUGUCACUUACCUCUUGAAUUAGAACAUAAGGCAUAUUGGGCUAUUAAAGAGCUCAACUAUGAUUUCAAACUUGCCGGUGAGAAGAUGCUUUUUGACAUUAGCUCACUUGAUGAAUGGAGAACCCAAGCCUAUGAAAAUGCCAAGCUGUUCAAAGAAAAAGUUAAAAGAUGGCAUGACAAAAGGAUACAAAAGCGUGAGUUUAAUGUAGGUGAUUAUGUAUUGCUAUCAACUCUUGUUUGAGAUUUUUUUGCAGGCAAACUCCUCUCUAAAUGGGAAGGUCCUUACGUCAUCGAGGAGGUCUAUAGUUCCGGUGCCAUGAAAAUCAACAACUUCGAAGGCACAAAUCCGAGGGUGGUGAACGAUCAAAGAAUCAAACAUUAUAUCUCAGGCGAUCCUAUAAAAGUUGAAACUAAUGUUAUUGAAACCGUAACCCCGGAGGAAUAUAUAAGGGACACUUUCCAGAAUGUUUCGGACUCCAAAAAGGAAUAGGUACGUGGUACGGUAAGUAAACCGAGUCCAAAACAGUUCUAAUGGACAUUUUUCUCCGUUUUGGAAUAUUUAAGAAAAUAGGAAAAUAAGAAGCAGAUCGGAAAGGACACGAGGCUUCCAUGAGGGUGGAGGGUGCGCCCUACCCCCCUGGGCGCGCCCCCUGCCUCGUGGGCACCUCGUGCACUCUCCGGACUCCGUUUUCUUGCAUGAUACUUCUUUUGGUCGGUAAAAAUUCACUAUAUAAUCUCCCGAAAGUUUUGACCAUCGUAUCACGCAAAUAUAUCUUGUUUUUGUUUCGAGCUAUUUUCUGCCAGGGUUGUCAAGGCCAGGCAUCAUGUCGUCUCCCUCCUCCUCCAACAAUGAGGGUAACGAUGCUUGGCUAAUGAAGAUAGAGCUGAAGAGAGAAGAACCCGGAGAGAUCAACAAGGAUGAUGGGAUCAAGAAAGCCACGGGGGAUCAAGUCCAGGCAGUAGCAGAAGAAGACAUCCUUCAACCUCACCACAAUCUCUUUAACCCAAUGGAGAUUGAAGCUUUCAAGAUGAUUGAGUUAGCUCGCAUUCAAAACAAGUAUCUCACAAGUGAAAAUAUUUUGUUGAAGGAGCAUAUCAUCGCACUCAAGGGCAUUAUCCGCAAAUUGGAGGAUCUCCUAUGCUCGAUGUGUGACUAGACAUCAUCGCCAACACCUUCUUGACCAACAAAGAAGAACUGAGCAUCGGGUAUGGGCACUCCCCUUGGCAACUGCCAAGCUUGGGGGAGUGCCCCAGUAUCGUAUCACCAUCACUUUUACCUUUACCGUUUUUCUUAGUUCGAUCCUUUUGAUAAUAUCUUGAUCUAGUAGAAUAAAGUUUUAGUAUGAUCUAGUUGUGAGUUUUGCUUUAUGAUCCUUCUAUGUAAUCGAGUCCAUGAGCUAUAUAUAAUAAAGAUUAGUGUUGAGUCAAGGGCUUGAUUAUUUUGCUAUGAUCUUGAGGGAAUGAAAUAAAAGAGGAGAAAUAAAAAGAAAUAAAGGGAUCAUAUGGAUCUUAUGGAGAGUAAUGGCUUCACAUAUAAAGAGUAUGAUGAAUAAAAAUUGUUGAAAGUUGACAAACAUAGUUUUGGUCAUCGUUGCAAUUAAUAGGAAGUAAUAAAGAAAGAGAGGUCUUCACAUAUAAAUAUACUAUCUUGGACACCUUUUAUGAUUGUGAGCACUCAUUAAAGUAUGAUAUGCUAAAGAGUUGACGUUGGACAAGGAAGACAGCGUAAUGGGUUAUGUUUUCUUACAUCUGAGAUAAAUUAUAUUGUCAUGGAUCAUCCAACAUGUUGAGCUUGCCUUUCCCUCUCAUGCUAGCCAAGUUCUUUGCACCAAGUAGAAAUACUAUUUGUGCUUCCAAAUAUCCUUAAACCCAGUUUUGCAAUGACAGUCCACCAUACCUACCUAUGGAUUGAGUAAGAUCCUUCAAGUAAGUUGUCAUCGGUGCAUGCAAUAAAAAUUGCCUUCUAAAUAUGUAUGAUUUAUUAAUGUAGAGAAAAUAAGCUUUAUACGAUCUAGUGAUAUGGAAGAAAUAAAAGCGACGGACUGCAUAAUAAAGGUCUAUAUCACAAGUGGCAAUAUAAAGUGACGUUCUUUUGCAUUAAGAUUUUGUGCAUCCAGCCAUAAAAGCGCAUGACAACCUCUGCUUCCCUCUGCAAAAGGGCCUAUCUUUUACUUUUAUCUUCUACCUUAUAUAAGAGUCAUGGUGAUCUUCACCUUUCCUUUUUACAUUUUAUUGUUUGGCAAGCACAAUGUGUUGGAAAGAUCCUGAUAUGUAUGGCUAAUUGGAUGUGGGUUUGCAUGAACUGUUAUUGUUGACAUUACCCUUGAGGUAAAACAUUGGGAGGCAAAACUAUAAGCCCCUAUCUUUCUCUGUGUCCGAUUAAAACUCCAUACCCAUAAAUAUUGCGUGAGUGUUAGCAAUUGUGAAAGACUAAAUGAUAGUUGAGUAUGUGGACCUGCUGAAAAGCUCUUAUAUUGACUCUUUCCUAUGUUAUGAUAAAUUGCAAUUGCUUCAAUGACUGAGAUUAUAGUUUGUUAGUUUUCAAUGAAGUUUCUGAUUCAUACUUGAAACUGUGAUUGAAUUGUUACUUUAGCAUAAGAGGUCAUAUGACAACAUAUAUAUAUAUAUAUAUAUAUAUAUAUAUAUAUAUAUAUAUAUGUUGCUGUUCUAAGAAUGAUCAUGAUGCCCUCAUGUCUGUAUUUUAUUUUAUCGAUACCUCUAUCUCUAAACAUGUGGACAUAUUUUUCGAUUUCGGCUUUCGCUUGAGGACAAGCGAGGUCUAAGCUUGGGGGAGUUGAUACGUCCAUUUUGCAUCAUGGUUUUAUAUCGAUAUUUAUUGCAUUAUGGGAUGUUAUUACACAUUAUGCCCCAAUACUUAUGCCUAUUCUCUCUUAUUUUACAAGGUUUACAUGAAGAGGGGGAAUGCCGGCAGCUGGAAUUCUGUGCUGGAAAAGGAGCAAAUAUUAGAGACCUAUUUUGCACAGCUCCAAAAGUCCUGAAACUUCACGGAAGUUAUUUUCAGAAUAUAUAAAAAAUACAAAGCGAAGAAUGUUGGGGAACGUAGCAGAAAUUCAAAAUUUUCCUACGCGUCACCAAGAUCUAUCUAUGGAGAAACCAGCUACGAGUAGAAGGAGAGUGCAUCUACAUACCCUUGUAGAUCGCUAAGCGGAAGCGUUCAAGUGAACGGGGUUGAAGGAGUCGUUCUCGUCGUGAUUCAAAUCACCGAUGAUCAAGUGCCGAAUGCACGGCACCUCUGCGUUCAACACACGUACAGCCCGGUGACGUCUCCCACGCCUUGAUCCAGCAAGGAGAGAGGGAGAGGUUGAGGAAGACUCCAUCCAGCAGCAGCACAACGGCGUGGUGGUGGUGGAGGAGCGUGGCAAUCCCGCAGGGCUUCGCCAAGCACCAUGGGAGAGGAGGAGUAGGGAGAGAGGUAGGGUUGCACCAAGAGGGAGAGAACUCAUGUGUAUGGCAGCCCCAAACCUCAUCUAUAUAUAGGGGGAAGGGGGGGCUGCGCCCCCUUUAGGGUUUCCUACCCCCAAGGGGUGCGGCCAGCCCUAGAUAGCAAAGGGGAGGCGGCCAAGGGGGGGGGAGGAGAGGGAGGCGCACCAAUAUGGGCCUUAAGGCCCAUCUGGACUAGGGUUUGCCCCCUCCCACUCUCCCUUGCGCCUUGGCCCCCUUGUGGGGGGCGCACCAGCCCUCCUAGGGGCUGGUCCCCUCCCACACUUGGCCCACGCAACCUUCUGGGGCAGGUGGCCCCACUUGGUGGACCCCCGGGACCCUCCCGGUGGUCCCGGUACAAUACCGAUAUCGCCCGAAACUUUUCCGGUGACCAAAACAGGACUUCCCAUAUAUAAAUCUUUACCUCCGGACCAUUCCGGAACUCCUCGUGACGUCCGGGAUCUCAUCCGGGACUCCGAACAACAUUCGGUAACCACAUACAAACUUCCUUUAUAACCCUAGCGUCAUCGAACCUUAAGUGUGUAGACCCUACGGGUUCGGGAGACAUGCAGACAUGACCGAGACGUUCUCCGGUCAAUAACCAACAACGGGAUCUGGAUACCCAUGAUGGCUCCCACAUGUUCCACGAUGAUCUCAUCGGAUGAACCACGAUGUCAAGGACUUAAUCAAUCCCGUAUUCAAUUCCCUUUGUCUAUCGGUAUGUUACUUGCCCGAGACUCGAUUGUCGGUAUCCAAUACCUUGUUCAAUCUCGUUACCGGCAAGUCACUUUACUCGUUCCGUAACACAUCAUCCCGUGAUCAACUCCUUGGUCACAUUGCGCAUAUGAUGAUGUCCUACCGAGUGGGCCCAGAGAUACCUCUCCGUUUACACGGAGUGACAAAUCCCAGUCUCGAUCCGCAUAAAACAAUAGAUACUUUCGGAGAUACCUGUAGUGCACCUUUAUAGUCACCCAGUUACGUUGUGACGUUUGAUACACCCAAAGCACUCCUACGGUAUCCAGGAGUUACACGCUCUCAUGGUCAAAGGAAGAGAUACUUGACAUUGGCAAAGCUCUAGCAAAUGAACUACACGAUCUUUUGUGCUAGGCUUAGGAUUGGGUCUUGUCCAUCACAUCAUUCUCCUAAUGAUGUGAUCCCGUUAUCAACGACAUCCAAUGUCCAUAGCCAGGAAACCAUGACUAUCUGUUGAUCACAACGAGCUAGUCAACUAGAGGCUCACUAGGGACAUAUUGUGGUCUAUGUAUUCACACGUGUAUUACGAUUUCCGGAUAAUACAGUUAUAGCAUGAAUAAAAGACUAUUAUCAUGAACAAAGAAAUAUAAUAAUAACUUAUUUAUUAUUGCCUCUAGGGCAUAUUUCCAACAGUCUCCCACUUGCACUAGAGUCAAUAAUCCAGUUCACAUCGCCAUGUGAUUAACACUCACAGGUCACAUCGCCAUGUGACUAAUACCCAAGAGUUUACUAGAGUCAGUAGUCUAGUUCACAUCACUAUGUGAUUAACACUCAAUGAGUUUUAUGUUUGAUCAUGUUGCUUGUGAGAGAGGUUUUAGUCAACGGGUCUGAACCUUUCAGAUCCGUGUGUGCUUUACAAAUCUCUAUGUCAUCUCCUAGAUGCAGCUACCACGCUCUAUUUGGAGCUAUUCCAAAUAACUUUUCUGCUUGGAGCUAUUCUAAAUUAUUGCUCCAUUAUAUGUAUCCGGUCUCUCUACUCAGAGCUAUCCGGAUAGGUGUCAAGCUUGCAUCGACAUAACCCUUUACGACGAACUCUUUUACCACCUCCAUAAUCAAGAAAAUUCCUUAGUCCACUAGUUACUAAGGAUAACUUUGACCGCUGUCUGUGAUCCAUUCUUGGAUCACUCUUGUACCCCUUGACUAACUCAUGGCAAGGCAAACUUCAGGUGCGGUACACAGCAUAGCAUACUGUAGAGCCUAUGUCUUAAGCAUAGGAGACGACCUUCGUCCUUUCUCUCUAUUCUGCCAUGGUCGAGCUUUAAGUCUUAACUUCGUACCUUACAACUCAGGCAAGAACUUCUUCUUUGACUGAUCCAUCUUGAACACCUUCAAGAUCAUGUCAAGGUAUAUGCUCAUUUUGAAAGUAUUAUUAAGCAUUUUGAUCUAUCCUUAUAGAUCUCGAUGCUCAAUGUUCAAGUAGCUUAAUCCAGGUUUUCUAUUGAAAAACACCUUUCAAAUAACCCUAUAUGCUUUCUAGAAAUUCUACAUCAUUUCUGAUCAACAUAUACUCAUCAGAAAUUCUAUAGUGCUCCCACUCACUUCUUUGGAAAUACAAGUUUCUCAUAAACUUUGUACAAACCCAAAAUCUUUGAUCAUCAUCAAAGCAUACAUUCCAACUCCGAGAUGCUCACUCCAGUCCUUAGAAGGAUCGCUGGAGCUAGCAUACAUUUUAGCAUCCUUAGGAUCGACAAAAACUUUCUGAUUGUAUUACCUACAAUCUUUCCUCACGAAAACUGGUAAGGAAACUCGUUUUGAUAUCCAUCUGCCAGAUUUCAUAAAUACAGCUAAUGCUAACAUGAUGUAACGCCCUCGAUGCGGCUAUAUCUCCCACGUGUCGAAGCACGACUUAGAGGCAUAACCGCAUUGAAAGCAAUGUCGCAAGUGAGGUAAUCUUCACACAACCCAUGUAAUACAUAAGGGAAAGAGAUACAUAGUUAGCUUACAAUCGCCACUUCACACAAUUACAUGAAUAAAGCAUUACAUCAUCCAGAUACAAUCAAGGUCCGUCUAUGGAACCAAAAUAAAAGAAGAACCCCAAAUGCGACAAAGGUCCCCGAUCGACCCCAACUGGGCUCCACUACUGAUCAACUA